UACACUCCUACGGGAGGCAGCAGUGGGGAAUUUUGGACAAUGGGGGCAACCCUGAUCCAGCAAUGCCGCGUGAGUGAAGAAGGCCUUCGGGUUGUAAAGCUCUUUUGUCAGGGAAGAAACGGUAGUAGCGAAUAACUAUUACUAAUGACGGUACCUGAAGAAUAAGCACCGGCUAACUACGUGCCAGCAGCCGCGGUAAUACGUAGGGUGCAAGCGUUAAUCGGAAUUACUGGGCGUAAAGCGUGCGCAGGCGGUUGUGUAAGUCAGAUGUGAAAUCCCCGGGCUCAACCUGGGAAUUGCAUUUGAGACUGCACGGCUAGAGUGUGUCAGAGGGGGGUAGAAUUCCACGUGUAGCAGUGAAAUGCGUAGAUAUGUGGAGGAAUACCGAUGGCGAAGGCAGCCCCCUGGGAUAACACUGACGCUCAUGCACGAAAGCGUGGGGAGCAAACAGGAUUAGAUACCCCUGUAGUCCCAUG
rnacentral:rRNA from 1 species